UGGGGAAUUUUGGACAAUGGGCGCAAGCCUGCUCCCUCGAUGCCGCGUGAGUGAAGAAGGCCUUCGGGUUGUAAAGCUCUUUCGGCCGGGACGAAAUCGCAUGCGUGAAUAUCGUGUGUGGAUGACGGUACCGGAAUAAGAAGCACCGGCUAACUACGUGCCAGCAGCCGCGGUAAUACGUAGGGUGCGAGCGUUAAUCGGAAUUACUGGGCGUAAAGCGUGCGCAGGCGGUUUCGUAAGCCAACAGUGAAAUCCCCGGGCUUAACCUGGGAACUGCAUUUGGGACUGCGAGGCUAGAGUACGGCAGAGGGAGGUGGAAUUCCACGUGUAGAAGUGAAAUGCGUAGAUAUGUGGAGGAACACCGAUGGCGAAGGCAGCCUCCUGGGCUAGUACUGACGCUCAUGCACGAAAAAGGGAGGAGAAAACAGG
rnacentral:rRNA from 1 species